rnacentral:rRNA from 1 species
AGCAUGUGGUUUAAUUCGAUGAUACGCGAGGAACCUUACCUGGGCUCAAAUGUAUGUUGACGUAUUCUGAAAGGGAUACUUCUUCGGACAAUAUACAAGGUGCUGCAUGGUUGUCGUCAGCUCGUGCCGUGAGGUGUCGGGUUAAGUCCCAUAACGAGCGCAACCCCUAUCAUUAGUUGCCAUCAGGUCAAGCUGGGGACUCUAAUGAAACUGCCUACGCAAGUAGUGAGGAAGGUGGGGAUGACGUCAAAUCAGCACGGCCCUUACGUCCAGGGCUACACACGUGCUACAAUGGCCGGUACAAAGGGCAGCUACCUGGUGACAGGAUGCUAAUCUCAAAAGCCGGUCUCAGUUCGGAUCGGAGUCUGCAACCCGACUCCAUGAAGUUGGAAUCGCUAGUAAUCGCGCAUCAGCAUGGCGCGGUGAAUACGUUCCCGGGCCUU